rnacentral:rRNA from 1 species
UUAAGCGACUAAGCGUACACGGUGGAUGCCCUGGCAGUCAGAGGCGAUGAAGGACGUGCUAAUCUGCGAUAAGCGUCGGUAAGGUGAUAUGAACCGUUAUAACCGGCGAUUUCCGAAUGGGGAAACCCAGUGUGAUUCGUCACACUAUCAUUAACUGAAUCCAUAGGUUAAUGAGGCGAACCGGGGGAACUGAAACAUCUAAGUACCCCGAGGAAAAGAAAUCAACCGAGAUUCCCCCAGUAGCGGCGAGCGAACGGGGAGCAGCCCAGAGCCUGAAUCAGUGUGUGUGUUAGUGGAAGCGUCUGGAAAGGCGCGCGAUACAGGGUGACAGCCCCGUACACAAAAAUGCACAUGCUGUGAGCUCGAUGAGUAGGGCGGGACACGUGGUAAUCCUGUCUGAAUAUGGGGGGACCAUCCUCCAAGGCUAAAUACUCCUGACUGACCGAUAGUGAACCAGUACCGUGAGGGAAAGGCGAAAAGAACCCCGGCGAGGGGAGUGAAAAAGAACCUGAAACCGUGUACGUACAAGCAGUGGGAGCACAGAGCAAUCUGUGUGACUGCGUACCUUUUGUAUAAUGGGUCAGCGACUUAUAUUCUGUAGCAAGGUUAACCGAAUAGGGGAGCCGAAGGGAAACCGAGUCUUAACUGGGCGUUAAGUUGCAGGGUAUAGACCCGAAACCCGGUGAUCUAGCCAUGGGCAGGUUGAAGGUUGGGUAACACUAACUGGAGGACCGAACCGACUAAUGUUGAAAAAUUAGCGGAUGACUUGUGGCUGGGGGUGAAAGGCCAAUCAAACCGGGAGAUAGCUGGUUCUCCCCGAAAGCUAUUUAGGUAGCGCCUCGUGAAUUCAUCUCCGGGGGUAGAGCACUGUUUCGGCAAGGGGGUCAUCCCGACUUACCAACCCGAUGCAAACUGCGAAUACCGGAGAAUGUUAUCACGGGAGACACACGGCGGGUGCUAACGUCCGUCGUGAAGAGGGAAACAACCCAGACCGCCAGCUAAGGUCCCAAAGUCAUGGUUAAGUGGGAAACGAUGUGGGAAGGCCCAGACAGCCAGGAUGUUGGCUUAGAAGCAGCCAUCAUUUAAAGAAAGCGUAAUAGCUCACUGGUCGAGUCGGCCUGCGCGGAAGAUGUAACGGGGCUAAACCAUGCACCGAAGCUGCGGCAGCGACGCUGAUGCGUUGUUGGGUAGGGGAGCGUUCUGUAAGCCUGCGAAGGUGUGCUGUGAGGCAUGCUGGAGGUAUCAGAAGUGCGAAUGCUGACAUAAGUAACGAUAAAGCGGGUGAAAAGCCCGCUCGCCGGAAGACCAAGGGUUCCUGUCCAACGUUAAUCGGGGCAGGGUGAGUCGACCCCUAAGGCGAGGCCGAAAGGCGUAGUCGAUGGGAAACAGGUUAAUAUUCCUGUACUUGGUGUUACUGCGAAGGGGGGACGGAGAAGGCUAUGUUGGCCGGGCGACGGUUGUCCCGGUUUAAGCGUGUAGGCUGGUUUUCCAGGCAAAUCCGGAAAAUCAAGGCUGAGGCGUGAUGACGAGGCACUACGGUGCUGAAGCAACAAAUGCCCUGCUUCCAGGAAAAGCCUCUAAGCAUCAGGUAACAUCAAAUCGUACCCCAAACCGACACAGGUGGUCAGGUAGAGAAUACCAAGGCGCUUGAGAGAACUCGGGUGAAGGAACUAGGCAAAAUGGUGCCGUAACUUCGGGAGAAGGCACGCUGAUAUGUAGGUGAAGUCCCUCGCGGAUGGAGCUGAAAUCAGUCGAAGAUACCAGCUGGCUGCAACUGUUUAUUAAAAACACAGCACUGUGCAAACACGAAAGUGGACGUAUACGGUGUGACGCCUGCCCGGUGCCGGAAGGUUAAUUGAUGGGGUCAGCGCAAGCGAAGCUCUUGAUCGAAGCCCCGGUAAACGGCGGCCGUAACUAUAACGGUCCUAAGGUAGCGAAAUUCCUUGUCGGGUAAGUUCCGACCUGCACGAAUGGCGUAAUGAUGGCCAGGCUGUCUCCACCCGAGACUCAGUGAAAUUGAACUCGCUGUGAAGAUGCAGUGUACCCGCGGCAAGACGGAAAGACCCCGUGAACCUUUACUAUAGCUUGACACUGAACAUUGAGCCUUGAUGUGUAGGAUAGGUGGGAGGCUUUGAAGUGUGGACGCCAGUCUGCAUGGAGCCGGCCUUGAAAUACCACCCUUUAAUGUUUGAUGUUCUAACGUUGACCCGUGAUCCGGGUUGCGGACAGUGUCUGGUGGGUAGUUUGACUGGGGCGGUCUCCUCCUAAAGAGUAACGGAGGAGCACGAAGGUUGGCUAAUCCUGGUCGGACAUCAGGAGGUUAGUGCAAUGGCAUAAGCCAGCUUGACUGCGAGCGUGACGGCGCGAGCAGGUGCGAAAGCAGGUCAUAGUGAUCCGGUGGUUCUGAAUGGAAGGGCCAUCGCUCAACGGAUAAAAGGUACUCCGGGGAUAACAGGCUGAUACCGCCCAAGAGUUCAUAUCGACGGCGGUGUUUGGCACCUCGAUGUCGGCUCAUCACAUCCUGGGGCUGAAGUAGGUCCCAAGGGUAUGGCUGUUCGCCAUUUAAAGUGGUACGCGAGCUGGGUUUAGAACGUCGUGAGACAGUUCGGUCCCUAUCUGCCGUGGGCGCUGGAGAACUGAGGGGGGCUGCUCCUAGUACGAGAGGACCGGAGUGGACGCAUCACUGGUGUUCGGGUUGUCAUGCCAAUGGCACUGCCCGGUAGCUAAAUGCGGAAGAGAUAAGUGCUGAAAGCAUCUAAGCACGAAACUUGCCCCGAGAUGAGUUCUCCCUGACUCCUUGAGAGUCCUGAAGGAACGUUGAAGACGACGACGUUGAUAGGCCGGGUGUGUAAGCGCAGCGAUGCGUUGAGCUAACCGGUACUAAUGAACCGUGAGGCUUAACCUU